rnacentral:tRNA from 1 species
GGGCGAUUAGCUCAGUGGUAGUAGCGCUUCCUUCACACGGAAGAGGUCACUGGUUCGAACCCAGUAUCGCCCACCA